rnacentral:rRNA from 1 species
AUUUGCAGUCGUGCCAUGAGAAUGACCGAGCUUGUCUGAUCUCAGAAGCUACGCGGGUUUGGGCCUGAUUAGUACUUGGAUGGGAGAGAGCUGGGACUGCAGUGC